rnacentral:rRNA from 1 species
ACGCGAAAGCCCCGCAAGGGGUAAGUAGAGUGGCGAACGGGUGAGUAACACGUGGGUGACCUACCUUCGAAUGGGGGAUAACGUCCCGAAAGGGACGCUAAUACCGCAUAACAUCCUGCUCUUGAACGAGUGGAGAUCAAAGCCGGGGAUCGCAAGACCUGGCGUUUGAAGAGGGGCCCGCGUCUGAUUAGCUAGUUGGUGAGGUAACGGCCCACCAAGGCGACGAUCAGUAUCCGGCCUGAGAGGGCGGACGGACACACUGGGACUGAGACACGGCCCAGACUCCUACGGGAGGCAGCAGUGGGGAAUUGUUCGCAAUGGGCGCAAGCCUGACGACGCAACGCCGCGUGGAGGAUGAAGGUCUUCGGAUUGUAAACUCCUGUUGCCCGGGACGAAACGUUUCGACCUAACACGUCGAGAUCUGACGGUACCGGGUGAGGAAGCCCCGGCUAACUCUGUGCCAGCAGCCGCGGUAAUACAGAGGGGGCAAGCGUUGUUCGGAAUUACUGGGCGUAAAGGGCGCGUAGGCGGCCUUCUAAGUCGAACGUGAAAUCCCCGGGCUCAACCCGGGAACUGCGUCCGAUACUGGAAGGCUUGAAUCCGGGAGAGGGAUGCGGAAUUCCAGGUGUAGCGGUGAAAUGCGUAGAUAUCUGGAGGAACACCGGUGGCGAAGGCGGCAUCCUGGACCGGCAUUGACGCUGAAGCGCGAAAGCCAGGGGAGCAAACG